rnacentral:tRNA from 1 species
GGGGUCGUGGCCUAAACCUGAGUGAUGGGGCCCAGCUAGGUAGGGCGACGGGCUCCAGACCCGUAGGCUAGGGGUUCAAAUCCCCUCGACCCCACCA